UUUAAUAAUAAUAUGAAAAAUGAUAAAACAGAUAUAAGUGAGGGAACAACAACUUGUAGUAUUGUGAAUGAUGGUAGUAGUAGUACUUAUACAUCCCAAUCGAGUCUUAAUAGUAACAUUAACAUUAGUAUGGAUAGCAAUAUCAAGAGUAAUGACAAUAGAUGUAGUGAUAACAUCGGCACGAAUAACGAUAAAGAGUUAAAAAAUAAAAGUUGUGUUGAUGAUGGUGUUUGUCACGAUAGUAACAUUUUACAACAUAAUAAUGCAUUACAGUAUAAAGAAGAUAAAUCGAAUGAGUGUUUAAAUUAUGGUAAUAAUAAUACUUGUAUAAUUAAAAAAAAUAAUAAUAACAAUAAUAAUAAUAACAAUAAUAAUAAUAAUAAUAAUAAUAAUAACAAUAAUAAUAAUAAUAACAAUAAUAAUAAUAAUAAUACAUUUGGUCUUAAUGAUAACAACGGUGGUUGUAUUGAUGAAAAAAAAGGUAGUUCUGAAAAAAUAUCUGUCGAUUUUUGUGACUUGUCAAACGUAUCUGUAAAAAUCCUCGAUAACAGUAAUAAUAAUAUUAUUAACAAAGAAUGUAAAAAUGGUGAUAAUAAAAGUUUAAACACAAAAGGUAUUGAUAGAGAUCAAAAUAUUAGUACUAUUAGUUGCAGUGACAGUAAUGAAAAUGAUGGAAAUACUAAUAAUGAAAGUAGUAAUAGUAACAAUAAUAACAAUAGUGGUAAUGGUAAUAAUAAUAGUGGUAAUAAUAGUAAUAGUAGUAAUAGUAGUAAUAACAACAGUGGUAAUGGUAAUACAGAUGGAAAUAAUAGCAGUAAUGAUGGUAGUAACAACAACAACAACAAUAACAACAACAACAAUAACAACAACAACAACAACAAUAAUAACAAUAAUAACAAUAAUAACGACAAUGAUGAUGAAGAAAACGAAAAAAAUAAAAAUAAAGAUAAAGAUAAAAAUAUGAAAAAUAAUAACAAAGAUAAUGAGAAAAAUGUGAACAACAAUGAUAACAAUUAUAAUGAUAAAAAUGAAACAAAAAAAAAAGAGAAUGAAAUGAAAGUAGAGGGUAGUAAUAAUAAAGGUAAUAACAAUAGUAAUAACAACAAUUCUGAAGGUAAGAUUUCAAGAAAUGUUAACCAAUCUAAGUUUAGUAAAGGAACAAAAUUGAGUAAUAGUAAUAAUAAUGAUAAUACUAAUACUACUACUACUAAUAAUAAUAAUAACACAUUAACAUUAAGUUCUUUGAAUGCUGAUGCACCUGAAUUUGUUCCUUCAACAAAUAGUAUAACAGGUAAUUUACCAUAUGCACCUAUGUUAUGGAAUAAUUAUUAUCCUGAUUUGCCUAAUAAUUCUUAUGUAAAUAUAGCUACUAAUAAAUUAAUCAAUAAUCAUAUAAAUCCACCCCUUUAUAAUAAUAUUAUAUUAAGUCCUAACCCAUUAAUGAAUCCUAUGAAUGGUAUCCCAAACAAUGUUGGAAUUGUAGGAGGUGGAGGAGGUAAUAAACUAAUGAAUAUUGUUGGUACAAACAAUGUAUUAAAUCCUAACAAUUUGAAUUUGAAUAUGCCUACUGCUGGUUUAGGUCCAGGAUUAGCAGCAGCAGGUUUAGUACCAGGUUUAGUACCAGGUUUAGCACCUGGUUUGGGACCUGGUUUAGCUCCAGGUAUAGCUCCAGGCAUAACUUUAGGUAUAAAUCCUACACUUAAUAAUAACAAUAAUAGUACAAAUACUACUACUGCUACUGGUAAUAAUAAUAGUACUACUACUACUACUACUACUACCGCUAAUAAUAAUAAUACUAGUGGUACAGUAAUAAAUACACAAAAUAAUACAAAUAAUGUUGAUAAUUAUAUGGAGAAAAAUAAUACAACAAAUAAUGUUAAUACUAGUAGUAAUAAUAAUAACAAUAAUGUAAAUACCAACAAUAAUGUAAAUAAUUCUAAUAGUAAUAAUAAUGUUAGUGGUACAAAUCAAAUAAAUAAUAGUAGCAAUACAAAUAAACAAUUGAAUAGUGGAUUUAUAGAUUCUAGUUUAGGUAGUUCUCAAAAUAUACAUUUAACAACUAUUGGAGGAGGAAUAGGUAAGAAUACAGGAGUUGCAGAUGGUAAUUUUAUAAAUCAAAAUAUAAUACCUGGUAAUAUGAAAAAUAUAAGAGGAGGAGGAGGAGGUACAAACAAUUUUAUGAAUUCGGAGAAAAUCCACCAACAUUCCCUCAUCAUCCUCAACAUCAGCAUCCACAUCCACAUCAUGCGAUGGUCGAUGCACAUCCAAAUUUUCAAGCAAACAAUCCAGCUGCUAUGAUGCAUCAUCCAGGUUUUUACAUUAAUCCAUCUUAUAUUAUGAAUAAUUAUCAUGGUCCUGGUUUAACUGCACCUCCUACAAUAUUUUCUCCUAUGCAUUAUGGUAAUACAUCUAUGGGUGAUGGUCCAGGUGGAAUCCAUCAUCAUGAUUUACCCUUCCCACAAGGUCCAGCAAUAUAUGGUGCGUUUGACAAUGUACCUAAUAAUGUUAUAACAAAUAAUAGUUUAACUUCGUCAAAACAUACCGGUUUAGGUAUUAAUCCGUAUAAUUAUUUAUCUUGUGGAGGAAUACAGACUCCACCACCUCAAUUACAUCAUCCACAUCCUAAUGGGCAUUUAAAUUUGAAUCACAAUAUGGAUAGUCAUUGUAUACCAACACCAGGUAAUGUCAUUCCUGGUGGUAGUGGUGGUGGUGGUGUUGGUGGUGUUGGUGGUGU
ensembl:lncRNA